AUGUUGAAGUCCUGAUGGAUUUGGAAGCAUUACAAUGCGGACAUCUUCAAAGGCGCACGCCCAAACAUCGCCAGCCUCCUCGACACGGUCAAGGUGAGGGCUAGGUUGUGGGUGCAGGCGGACGCUACGGGGCUCGCAGAUCUACCGCCUUAA
rnacentral:rRNA from 1 species